rnacentral:tRNA from 1 species
GCCGUGUUUUCGCCGGGCUUGGGCUCGGACUUGCUCUCCGACUUCGGGUCUUCCUUCGCGCCGGCGUUCGGUGCGCCGGGCUUGGCG